rfam:Aphanomyces astaci strain APO3 cont1.1616, whole genome shotgun sequence.
GGAGGAAUAGCUCAGGUGGUAGAGCAUCAGUUUCUUAACUCAAAGGUCGUGGGUUCGAUCCCCGGUUUCUCCG